rnacentral:rRNA from 1 species
CCCGGCCGCGGUAACGACGGGUAACGGGGAAGUCAGGUUCGAUUCCGGAGAGGGAGCCCGAGAAACGGCUACCACUUCCAAGGAAGGCAGCAGGCGCGCAACUUACCCUAAUCUCGAUUCGAGGAGGUAGUGACAAGAAAUACCGAUGCGGGACCCUACGGGUGCCGCGUUCGGAAUGAGUACGAUUCGAACCACCUAACGAGGAACGAUCGGAGGGGCAAGUCUGGUGCCAGCAGCCGCGGUAAUUCCAGCUCCAAUAGCGUACGUUAAAGUUGCUGCAGUUAAAAAGCUCGUAGUUGAACGUUCGGGUUCCGCGGGACGGGGCCGCCCCGCGAGGGACGGCGCCGCCCCGGGGCUCGUGAUAUCUCAUCUCGCCGCCCGUCGCGAGGCGGACGGAGGGAUGGAUGAGGUUACCUGGAAAAAAAUCGGGG